ACUCAAAGGAAUUGACGGGGGCUCACACAAGCGGUGGAGCAUGUGGCUUAAUUCGAGGCUACGCGAAGAACCUUAUCCUGGACUUGACAUGUGCGAAAGCGUCAGGGGGUAGCACCGGGGAAACUCGGUGCGAAGGUAUCCAAUCCUGAACCUGAUACAGGUGCUGCAUGGCUGUCGUCAGCUCGUGUCGUGAGAUGUCGGGUUAAGUCCCAUAACGAGCGAAACCCUUACCUUUAGUUGCUACCCGCAAGGGGCACUCUAGAGGGACUGCCGGUGUCAAACCGGAGGAAGGUGGGGAUGACGUCAAGUCCUCAUGGCCUUUAUGUCCAGGGCUGCACACGUGCUACAAUGCCGUACACAAAGCGACGCGACCACGCGAGUGGAAGCUAAUCGCAAAAAUUACGGCCCAGUUCAGAUCGGAGGCUGCAACUCGCCUCCGUGAAGCCGGAAUCGCUAGUAAUCGCGGGUCAGCAACACCGCGGUGAAUGUGUUCCUGAGCCUUGCACACACCGCCCGU
rnacentral:rRNA from 1 species